UACUUUGGUGGUGCUCAGUGCCAUUAGAAGUUUGUGUUGGGAGAAAUUUUUCGAAAAAUCGUAGUUGGUGUGCUUGGAAAGCACGUACAAAUUCUUGAGACUGAGUUUGAUCCAUAGUAUAACAAAAAACAAACAAAUAUUGAACGGGCUACCUUGUCUUCAAACUGUUAUGACAGGAUGCCAGAUACACUGAAAAUAUAACACACUGUCCUUGCUACCAUGUUCAUGCCGCCAUCACACCGGAAUCAACAGCUGCGCCGCCUACCGAACAAUCUUGCAUCAGCACAUCGAACAUUGGCCAGGGAUUUUCUGGCACUUCGGGAAGUGGCCGGCCAAAGUAAUAUAGACUCUAGUCAUUUCCAGUACAUCGGACAUUGGCCAAACGCCACCGCCAAAGUGCGAAAUGGCCGGCCAAUUCGGGAACUGGCCGAACUUCGGGCUU
rnacentral:lncRNA from 1 species